rnacentral:rRNA from 1 species
GCGGGUGAGGAAUACAUGGGUAACCUACCCUUGAGAAGGGAAUAACCCGCCGAAAGGUGAGCUAAUACCCUAUACGCUANCUUUUUUUCGGAAAAAGGAUAGGAAAAGCCGGGUCGAGGACCUGGUACUCAAGGAGGGGCUCAUGUCCUAUCAGCUUGUUGGUGGGGUAACGGCCUACCAAGGCUACGACGGGUAGCUGGUCUGAGAGGAUGAUCAGCCACACUGGCACUGAGAUACGGGCCAGACUCCUACGGGAGGCAGCAGUGAGGAAUAUUGCGCAAUGGGCGAAAGCCUGACGCAGCGACGCCGCGUGGGGAUGAAGGUUUUCGGAUUGUAAACCCCUUUCAUGAGGAAAGAUAAAGUGGGUAACCACUUAGACGGUACCUCAAGAAGAAGCCACGGCUAACUUCGUG